CCCCCCCGGCCCGGCGUCACCCUGGAGACUCAGCAAGCUUCUGUGGAGACGACUCCAGAUCGACGGGUAUCAGAAUAACAACCACUGUAAACAGUCAUCUGGAAGCAUUUGGCCCUUGUGAAGGAACAUUCUUCUUGGCCAAACAUUCAGAAGCGGAGGGGUCCUUCUCCUCCUUCGACACCUCCAGAUCCGAGGAACUCUUGGUAGAUCACUCAGCUUGCAAUCACAAAGCAAACUAAUUGUCUUUGUGCACCAGAAUCGGUGGCAUCUAAUUUUCAGUCGAUGAACCGGCGACUGAAGUGACUGUGAUUUUACGUUUUUUUUUAUGUUGGCAUAUGUCUGACAUGGAGGUCACGUUGUUCUUUUGGGACGGUCAUGUGUGCUGAAACAUAAAUAGGCAUGAAACCA